rnacentral:tRNA from 1 species
GCCCUGAUAGUAUAUUAUAUUACUUUGGUCUUGUAAACCAAAAAUGAAGAACCUAUCUUCUCAAGGCA